rnacentral:rRNA from 1 species
AUUGAACGCUGGCGGCAGGCCUAACACAUGCAAGUCGAGCGGAUGAAGGGAGCUUGCUCCCUGAUUCAGCGGCGGACGGGUGAGUAAUGCCUAGGAAUCUGCCUGGUAGUGGGGGACAACGUUUCGAAAGGAGCGCUAAUACCGCAUACGUCCUACGGGAGAAAGCAGGGGACCUUCGGUCCUUGCGCUAUCAGCUGAGCCUAGGUCGGAUUAGCUAGUUGGUGAGGUAAUGGCUCACCAAGGCGACGAUCCGUAACUGGUCUGAGAGGAUGAUCAGUCACACUGGAACGGAGACACGGUCCAGACUCCUACGGGAGGCAGCAGUGGGGAAUAUUGGACAAUGGGCGAAAGCCUGAUCCAGCCAUGCCGCGUGUGUGAAGAAGGUCUUCGGAUUGUAAAGCACUUUAAUUUGGGAGGAAGGGUUGCUGAUUAAUACUCUGCAAUUUUGACGUUACCGACAGAAUAAGCACCGGCUAACUCUGUGCCAGCCGCCGCAGUAA